UGGGGAAUAUUGCACAAUGUGGGAAACCCUGAUGCAGCGACGCCGCGUGAAGGAAGAAGUAUCUCGGUAUGUAAACUUCUAUCAGCAGGGAAGAUAGUGACGGUACCUGACUAAGAAGCCCCGGCUAACUACGUGCC
rnacentral:rRNA from 1 species